AGUGAACGCUGGCGGUAGGCCUAACACAUGCAAGUCGAACGGCAGCACAGUAAGAGCUUGCUCUUACGGGUGGCGAGUGGCGGACGGGUGAGGAAUACAUCGGAAUCUACUUUUUCGUGGGGGAUAACGUAGGGAAACUUACGCUAAUACCGCAUACGACCUACGGGUGAAAGCAGGGGAUCUUCGGACCUUGCGCGAUUGAAUGCGCCGAUGUCGUAUUAGCUAGUUGGCGGGGUAAAGGCCCACCAAGGCGACGCUCCGUAGCUGGUCUGAGAGGAUGAUCAGCCACACUGGAACUGAGACACGGCCCAGACUCCUACGGGAGGCAGCAGUGGGGAAUAUUGGACAAUGGGCGCAAGCCUGAUCCAGCCAUACCGCGUGGGUGAAGAAGGCCUUCGGGGUGUAAAGCCCUUUUGUUGGGAAAGAAAAGCAGCAGGUUAAUACCCCGAUGUUCUGACGGUACCCAAAGAAUAAGCACCGGCUAACUUCG
rnacentral:rRNA from 1 species